rnacentral:rRNA from 1 species
CUGGCAGUAAACGGUGCUCGCUUGGUAUGCGCGGUUUCGACCCCGUGCGUGCCGGAGCUAACGCGUUAAGCGAGCCGCCUGGGAAGUACGGUCGCAAGAUUAAAACUCAAAGAAAUUGACGGGGACCCGCACAAGCGGUGGAGUAUGUGGCUUAAUUCGAUGCAACGCGAAGAACCUUACCUGGGCUUGACAUGCAUCGCUAAUCGCGUGAAAGCGCGUGAGUGGAGCAAUCCACACUUUGCACAGGUGC